rnacentral:rRNA from 1 species
GAUGAACGCUGGCGGCGUGCCUAAUACAUGCAAGUCGAGCGAACGGACGAGAAGCUUGCUUCUCUGAUGUUAGCGGCGGACGGGUGAGUAACACGUGGAUAACCUACCUAUAAGACUGGGAUAACUUCGGGAAACCGGAGCUAAUACCGGAUAAUAUUUUGAACCGCAUGGUUCAAAAGUGAAAGACGGUCUUGCUGUCACUUAUAGAUGGAUCCGCGCUGCAUUAGCUAGUUGGUAAGGUAACGGCUUACCAAGGCAACGAUGCAUAGCCGACCUGAGAGGGUGAUCGGCCACACUGGAACUGAGACACGGUCCAGACUCCUACGGGAGGCAGCAGUAGGGAAUCUACCGCAAUGGGCGAAAGCCUGACGGAGCAACGCCACGUGAGUGAUGAAGGUCUUCGGAUCGUAAAACUCUGUUAUUAGGGAAGAACAUAUGUGUAAGUAACUGUGCACAUCUUGACGGUACCUAAUCAGAAAGCCACGGCUAACUACGUG